rnacentral:rRNA from 1 species
UACAGAGGGUGCAAGCGUUAAUCGGAAUUACUGGGCGUAAAGCGUGCGUAGACGGUUAUGUAAGUUAGGUGUGAAAGCCCCGGGCUCAACCUGGGAAUUGCAUUUAAGACUGCAUAGCUAGGGUGCGGAAGAGGGAAGCGGAAUUUCCGGGUGUAGCGGUGAAAUGCGUAGAUAUCGGGAGGAACAUCAGUGGCGAAGGCGGCCUUCUGGUCCAGUACUGACAUCUCAAGUGCG